rnacentral:rRNA from 1 species
GACGAACGCUGGCGGCGUGCUUAACACAUGCAAGUCGAACGGAGAGGCCCCUUCGGGGGUCCUCGAGUGGCGAACGGGUGAGUAACACGUGAGUAACCUGCCCUUGACUUCGGGAUAACUUCAGGAAACUGGGGCUAAUACCGGAUAGGAAUCCUUGCUGCAUGGUGGGGGUUGGAAAGCUUCGGCGGUUUUGGAUGGACUCGCGGCUUAUCAGCUUGUUGGUGGGGUAGUGGCUUACCAAGGCUUUGACGGGUAGCCGGCCUGAGAGGGCGACCGGCCACAUUGGGACUGAGAUACGGCCCAGACUCCUACGGGAGGCAGCAGUGGGGAAUAUUGCACAAUGGGCGGAAGCCUGAUGCAGCAACGCCGCGUGCGGGAUGACGGCCUUCGGGUUGGAAACCGCUUUCAGCAGGGGCGAAGCUUGUGGUGACGGUACCUGCAGAAGAAGCACCGGCUAACUACGUG